rnacentral:rRNA from 1 species
AUGGGCCGGGGGUCGCCGCGGUGGGCGGCGCUGCUGCUGCUCCUCCUCCUCCUCGCCGCCGCGGGGCGCUCCUCCGCGCAUCCCGGGGCGUGCCCGGUGCCCGCCGCGGCGGAGGCCGUGCUCGGGCCUCCCCGCACCUGCUCCCCGCUGGAUCGCCGCCCCGGCGACCCGGUCGGCGUCAUCGAGGGAGAUGAGGCUACAUUGGCGAGGGCAGUCAAUCUUCUUUACUUGAACAAAGAUGAGUACAUUGCUGUGCUUUUCUAUGCCUCAUGGUGCCCGUUUUCACAAGAGUGCAAACCUAAUUUCGAGAAGUUGGCUCACCUAUUCCCAACUAUUCGGCAUUUUGCAUUCGAGGAAUCUGCAAUUAGGCCAAGCAUAAUAUCAAGAUAUGGGAUUCAUGGUUUUCCAACACUUUUUCUCUUGAAUUCAACAAUGCGAGUGAGGUACCAUGGACCUCGAACUGUUAAGCCACUAGCUGCUUUCUACAGUGAUGUUUCAGGCAUCAGUGCAUCAGUGGAGUCAACCACAGGGGAGGCCAUGCCACACCCGUUAGAUGAAAUUGAGCCAAAAAAGGAUGUUGAACCGGAGAAUUGUCCAUUCUGGUGGGCGCGUUCGCCCGAAAAUAUACUCCAGCAGGAUACGUAUCUAGCACUGGCAGCUUCUUUUGUAAUCCUGCGGUUGCUGUAUCUUCUAUUCCCAAGGAUAGUUUCUGCAGCAAAAUGGGCAUGGAGGAGGCACACUCUGUUUGCGAACUUGAUGGGCGUGCAUGAAUAUUUCUUCACCUACCUCGAGCAAGCAAGACAGAAAUUGAGUAGGUUAUACCCUUCGAAGCGAGGGAAUUUACAGGAGGGGGCAAGGAAUGCCACUGCCUGGGCCUCCAAAUCAUUAGCAUCUGUGUCAAUCGGAGAACCAAGCACUAUCGGAAGGACGAACUCCACGAAUGAACUGAGGUGA